GAGCUUAGUCGGUAGAGCAAAAAACUCUUAAUCUCAGCUUUGUGGGUUCAAGUCCCACGUCG
rnacentral:tRNA from 1 species